AGAACGGUUAAGUUCGUGAUUAAGCGCGUUGCUUGUGCAAUGCAAUCGAAAGGGAAUCGGGUUAAUAUUCCCGAGCCAGGAUACGGUUGAUGUUCAACAUUCCAGAAGUGCCUCGUGCAUUGAUGGUGUUGUGCAUAAGUGGUAACACUAACAAACCCAGAAAUUAACUAUACGAAGUCCGGGGAAGAGUUUUCUCUUCUUUGUAAGGAAUGUUAUCCCUGGAAUCAGAUUGUCUGGCGAUAGGGUACGCAUUCCGUAAUGCAGCGCGAUUCCUGCGAUGUACCGUGCGCUUCGUAUAGUGCUUGAAAUCU
rnacentral:rRNA from 2 species